rnacentral:sRNA from 1 species
GACACGCCGAGCUGCGGGGGCAGGGAGGACACGCGGGGCUGGGGGGGGGUGGGGGGGCGGGGCGGGGGGCACCCGGGGCGCCCCCUGACUCUCCUUGUGCCCCCAGAAUGACGUGGGCGGCGAAAAGCUGCUGCAGAAGAAGUGGACCACCUUCCUGAAGGCCCAGCUGCUCUGCACCCAGCCGGGGCAGCUGCCCUUCAACGUCAUCCGCCACGCGGUCCUGCUCCCCGCCGAUUCUCCCACAGCUCCCCACAUCUACGCAGUUUUCACCUCCCAGUGGCAGGUUGGCGGGACCAGGAGCUCUGCGGUUUGUGCCUUCUCUCUCUUGGAGAUUGAACGUGUCUUUAAGGGGAAAUACAAAGAGUUGAACAAAGAAACUUCACGCUGGACUACUUAUAGGGGCCCUGAGACCAACCCCCGGCCAGGCAGUUGCUCAGUGGGCCCCUCCUCUGAUAAGGCCUUGACCUUCAUGAAGGACCAUUUCCUGAUGGAUGAGCAGGUGGUGGGGACGCCCCUGCUGGUGAAAUCUGGCGUGGAGUAUACACGGCUUGCAGUGGAGACAGCCCAGGGCCUUGAUGGGCACAGCCAUCUUGUCAUGUACCUGGGAACCACCACAGGGUCGCUCCACAAGGCUGUGGUGAGUGGGGACAGCAGUGCUCAUCUGGUGGAAGAGAUUCAGCUGUUCCCUGACCCUGAACCUGUUCGCAACCUGCAGCUGGCCCCCACCCAGGGUGCAGUGUUUGUAGGCUUCUCAGGAGGUGUCUGGAGGGUGCCCCGAGCCAACUGUAGUGUCUAUGAGAGCUGUGUGGACUGUGUCCUUGCCCGGGACCCCCACUGUGCCUGGGACCCUGAGUCCCGAACCUGUUGCCUCCUGUCUGCCCCCAACCUGAACUCCUGGAAGCAGGACAUGGAGCGGGGGAACCCAGAGUGGGCAUGUGCCAGUGGCCCCAUGAGCAGGAGCCUUCGGCCUCAGAGCCGCC